AAAAAAUGGCGAUGUUUCCUUUUGCUGACAACUAGGAUCUACAUCAAAUAAAAUAUGUAAAUUUAUCGCAGUAAAAAGAGGAAUAGUGUACGAUUAAAUCCUCAGAUCAAUAAAAGGAUGAACAGUCACGUGAUGCCUUUAACUUUAAUAAGUCUUUUUUGUAUCUUUGGUGUUCUUGCUUCAGAUGGUACUGAAAAACCGAUGCAGUUAGACAUGAAAAUCGAGGGAUAUGAAAAGGAGUGCGAUGCUGCCAACAACUGUGUAUACACCGGCCGAAUUUAUGGACGCGUCGCGGGCUAUUCAAACACUAGCAAGUGCUGCUACGGGAUUUUUCUGAAACAUUGCUAUAAAAACUUGGAUUGCUCCAAUUAUAGGUCUAAUUGGCAAAAUGAAUGUUUUUUCGGAGGGAACUGUAUGCAUUCUGCGUGCAAACAAAUGAGUAACGAUGAUCACUGCUACUGUGAAGAUAAGAGCUAUCCAUUCAGAUUCAGAUUCCGCCCCGAAUUCAAGAAUUCGUGGUACAUUCUUGCAGCACUUUCAUUUUACCCACGGAUUCAUACUAACCCCUAUAAUUUCAGCGAAAGAUUUGAUGUUUCAAAUCCACCAGUGGAACUGAGAAAUGAUGCAUUUUUGGCCUCCACCAACGGAAAACUCCAGCUGCAAGCAGAACCGGUCAUUAUGUUCAUGGGAGCUCUGUACGCUUUGAUCAUGUCCUUGGAAAUGACAAUCAAAGAUAUAAUUUAGUCCAACCGGGAGUAAAAAUAAUAAAAACGAGUGAAUUGUUGGCCUCCACGGAUGGAGAGCUCCACUUGCAAGGCAGGUAGAUCCAAUCAUUAUGUGUAUCGGAUUAAUGUACGCACUUGUCAAGUCUAUAGAACUACUAAACAAAGACUGGUUAUAGUCGAACGUGUGGCUGUUUAGCUUUUUAAUCAAGCAUGACUGUGGUAAUUUAGCUGCUAAAUACGUUGUUGGUUAGCUAGUUUUAUGCAAUAUGUGAUUAUUUAGCUAGGUCUAACGAAACAUGUGAUUUAAUUAAAUAUGUGAUAAUUUAGCUACUUAUGACGUUGCUGUUGAGAUAGAAUUGUUUUCAUUAUUUAUCUAGGUUUCAUAAAACAUGUGAUUGUUUAGGUUGGUCUCAUGAAACAUGUGUUUGUUUAUCUGGUUGUAAUGUAACGUGUUUGUUUAACUAAUUCUAACAUAGUGUGAUUGUUUAGCUGGUUCUCAUGACUAAUAUAAUAGGUAAUUUAUUUGACUGAGUCUUCAUCAACAACAAGAAUCCUGGCUAAUGUACUCAAAAAUAUGGUUUACUUGUAUAACAUAACAAAUUGAAAGAGGACUUAUUGCCGUUGGUUAGAUGUGUUUGAUGGAGGACGUUGGAGAGAGCUGGGGAGUAUGAAGGCUAUGACAAUAGAAUUCUUUGUUCCAUCUAAGAGUGCUUAGACUAUGCUUGAUUAUUAAACGACCUGUUACAAUCUUUUUGUGGGUUUUCUAAAAUACGAUUAUAUAUAUUUUUUUAAAUUAUUUUUUGUCGUCUUCAUGCCUUCUCAACCUAUUCCAAAUACACAGUCCACCCCACACAUUCCAAUAGGAGUUCCACACAAAACCCACCACACACAGUCCAACAAAGGUUUCACACACUUUCCCAAAACUAAACUCAAUAUACAGACGUAUAAUAACUAUUACAUAAUGAUCCCGUGCUUUAAAAUUGAUUGUUA